CAUGGCUCAGAUUGAACGCUAGCGGGAUGCUUUACACAUGCAAGUCGAACGGCAGCGCGAGAGAGCUUGCUCUCUUGGCGGCGAGUGGCGGACGGGUGAGUAAUAUAUCGGAACGUGCCCAGUAGCGGGGGAUAACUACUCGAAAGAGUGGCUAAUACCGCAUACGCCCUACGGGGGAAAGGGGGGGAUCGCAAGACCUCUCACUAUUGGAGCGGCCGAUAUCGGAUUAGCUAGUUGGUGGGGUAAAGGCUCACCAAGGCAACGAUCCGUAGCUGGUUUGAGAGGACGACCAGCCACACUGGGACUGAGACACGGCCCAGACUCCUACGGGAGGCAGCAGUGGGGAAUUUUGGACAAUGGGGGAAACCCUGAUCCAGCCAUCCCGCGUGUAUGAUGAAGGCCUUCGGGUUGUAAAGUACUUUUGGCAGAGAAGAAAAGGUAUCCCCUAAUACGGGAUACUGCUGACGGUAUCUGCAGAAUAAGCACCGGCUAACUACGUGCCAGCAGCCGCGGUAAUACGUAGGGUGCAAGCGUUAAUCGGAAUUACUGGGCGUAAAGCGUGUGUAGGCGGUUCGGAAAGAAAGAUGUGAAAUCCCAGGGCUCAACCUUGGAACUGCAUUUUUAACUGCCGAGCUAGAGUAUGUCAGAGGGGGGUAGAAUUCCACGUGUAGCAGUGAAAUGCGUAGAUAUGUGGAGGAAUACCGAUGGCGAAGGCAGCCCCCUGGGAUAAUACUGACGCUCAGACACGAAAGCGUGGGGAGCAAACAGGAUUAGAUACC
rnacentral:rRNA from 1 species